UAAGUACUCCCUCCGUCCGAAAAUACUUGUCAUUAAAAUGGACAAAAAAGGAUGUAUCUAAAACUAAAAUACAUCUAGAUACAUCCCCUUUUAUUCAUUUUGAUGACAAGUAUUUCCGGACGGAGGGAGUAAUAA
rnacentral:pre_miRNA from 1 species